AGCAGCCGCGGUAAUUCCAGCUCCAAUAGCGUAUAUUAAAGUUGUUGCAGUUAAAAAGCUCGUAGUUGAAUUUCGGGGUUCUACCGUUGGUCGGGCUAUUGUCUGUACUGGCGUGUAGAAUUUCUACCUUCUGGGGAACUAUCAUGUUAUUAAUUUAGCGUGGUAGGAAACCAGAACCUUUACCUUGAAAAAAUUAGAGUGUUUAAAGCAGGCUUAUGUCUGAAUACAUUAGCAUGGAAUAAUAAAAUAGGACGGUGGUCCUGUUUUGUUGGUUUCUGAAUCACCGUAAUGAUUAAUAGGGAUAGUUGGGGGCAUUAGUAUUCAAUUGUCAGAGGUGAAAUUCUUGGAUUUAUUGAAGACUAACUACUGCGAAAGCAUUUGCCAAGGAUGUUUUCAUUAAUCAAGAACGAAAGUUAGGGGAUCGAAGACGAUCAGAUACCGUCGUAGUCUUAACCAUAAACUAUGCUGACUAGGGGUCGGACGAUGUUAACUUUUCUUGACUCGUUCGGCGCCUUACGGG
rnacentral:rRNA from 1 species